UACGUAGGGUGCGAGCGUUGUCCGGAAUUACUGGGCGUAAAGAGCUCGUAGGUGGUUUGUCGCGUUGUUCGUGAAAACUCACAACUCAAUUGUGGGCGUGCGGGCGAUACGGGCAGACUGGAGUACUGCAGGGGAGACUGGAAUUCCUGGUGUAGCGGUGGAAUGCGCAGAUAUCAGGAGGAACACCAAUGGCGAAGGCAGCUCGCUGGGACGGUACUGACGCUGAGGCGCGAAAGCGUGGGGAGCAAACAGG
rnacentral:rRNA from 1 species